rnacentral:rRNA from 1 species
AAAUUGAAGAGUUUGAUCAUGGCUCAGAUUGAACGCUGGCGGCAGGCCUAACACAUGCAAGUCGAGCGGUAGCACAGAAGAGCUUGCUCUUUGGGUGACGAGCGGCGGACGGGUGAGUAAUGUCUGGGAAACUGCCUGAUGGAGGGGGAUAACUACUGGAAACGGUAGCUAAUACCGCAUAACCUCGCAAGAGCAAAGAGGGGGACCUUCGGGCCUCUCGCCAUCAGAUGUGCCCAGAUGGGAUUAGCUAGUAGGUGAGGUAAUGGCUCACCUAGGCGACGAUCCCUAGCUGGUCUGAGAGGAUGACCAGCCACACUGGAACUGAGACACGGUCCAGACUCCUACGGGAGGCAGCAGUGGGGAAUAUUGCACAAUGGGCGCAAGCCUGAUGCAGCCAUGCCGCGUGUGUGAAGAAGGCCUUCGGGUUGUAAAGCACUUUCAGCGGGGAGGAAGGCGGUAAGGUUAAUAACCUUGUCGAUUGACGUUACCCGCAGAAGAAGCACCGGCUAACUCCGUGCCAGCAGCCGCGGUAAUACGGAGGGUGCAAGCGUUAAUCGGAAUGACUGGGCGUAAAGCGCACGCAGGCGGUCUGUUAAGUUGGAUGUGAAAUCCCCGGGCUUAACCUGGGAACUGCAUUCAAAACUGACAGGCUAGAGUCUUGUAGAGGGGGGUAGAAUUCCAGGUGUAGCGGUGAAAUGCGUAGAGAUCUGGAGGAAUACCGGUGGCGAAGGCGGCCCCCUGGACAAAGACUGACGCUCAGGUGCGAAAGCGUGGGGAGCAAACAGGAUUAGAUACCCUGGUAGUCCACGCUGUAAACGAUGUCGAUUUGGAGGUUGUGCCCUUGAGGCGUGGCUUCCGGAGCUAACGCGUUAAAUCGACCGCCUGGGGAGUACGGCCGCAAGGUUAAAACUCAAAUGAAUUGACGGGGGCCCGCACAAGCGGUGGAGCAUGUGGUUUAAUUCGAUGCAACGCGAAGAACCUUACCUACUCUUGACAUCCAGAGAACUUAGCAGAGAUGCUUUGGUGCCUUCGGGAACUCUGAGACAGGUGCUGCAUGGCUGUCGUCAGCUCGUGUUGUGAAAUGUUGGGUUAAGUCCCGCAACGAGCGCAACCCUUAUCCUUUGUUGCCAGCGAUUCGGUCGGGAACUCAAAGGAGACUGCCGGUGAUAAACCGGAGGAAGGUGGGGAUGACGUCAAGUCAUCAUGGCCCUUACGAGUAGGGCUACACACGUGCUACAAUGGCGUAUACAAAGAGAAGCGACCUCGCGAGAGCAAGCGGACCUCAUAAAGUACGUCGUAGUCCGGAUUGAGUCUGCAACUCGACUCCAUGAAGUCGGAAUCGCUAGUAAUCGUAGAUCAGAAUGCUACGGUGAAUACGUUCCCGGGCCUUGUACACACCGCCCGUCACACCAUGGGAGUGGGUUGCAAAAGAAGUAGGUAGCUUAACCUUCGGGAGGGCGCUUACCACUUUGUGAUUCAUGACUGGGGUGAAGUCGUAACAAGGUAACCGUAGGGGAACCUGCGGUUGGAUCACCUCCUUA